rnacentral:rRNA from 1 species
AUUGAACGCUGGCGGCAGGCUUAACACAUGCAAGUCGAGCGGGGUGAUGGUGCUUGCACUAUCACUUAGCGGCGGACGGGUGAGUAAUGCUUAGGAAUCUGCCUAUUAGUGGGGGACAACAUCUCGAAAGGGAUGCUAAUACCGCAUACGUCCUACGGGAGAAAGCAGGGGAUCACUUGUGACCUUGCGCUAAUAGAUGAGCCUAAGUCGGAUUAGCUAGUUGGUGGGGUAAAGGCGUACCAAGGCGACGAUCUGUAGCGGGUCUGAGAGGAUGGUCGGCCACACUGGGACUGGAACACGGCCCAGACUCCUACGGGAGGCAGCAGUGGGGAAUAUUGGACAAUGGGGGGAACCCUGAUCCAGCCAUGCCGCGUGUGUGAAGAAGGCCUUAUGGUUGUAAAGCACUUUAAGCGAGGAGGAGGCUCUUUUGGUUAAUACCCAAGAUGAGUGGACGUUACUCGCAGAAUAAGCACCGGCUAACUCUGUGCCAGCCGCCGCAGUAA